rnacentral:rRNA from 1 species
CUCCAAUAGCGUAUAUUAAAGUUGUUGCAGUUAAAAAGCUCGUAGUUGGAUUUCUGGCAGAGGAACUUAGUCCGCAUGCUGCGUGACAAAGGCUCUCUACCAUCCUUCUGUUAACCUCCUAGUUCUUCAUUGAGCUGUUGGGAGCCAGAUAUUACCUUGAGAAAAUUAGAGUGUUUCAGGCAGCUAGCGCCGGAUACAUU